rfam:Schistosoma mansoni strain Puerto Rico chromosome 3, complete genome
AUCCAGCUGACGAGCCACGAAUAGGACGAAACGCGCAUCUUGGAU